rnacentral:lncRNA from 1 species
UUUAUGGCUAGAUAGUGCUCCAUUUUGUCUAAGUACCACAUUUUCUUUAUCCAUUCAUCUGCUGAUGGACAUGCAGGUUGCUUCUAGAUCUUGGCUAUUGUGAAUAGUUCUGCAAUAAACAUGAGAGUGCAGAUAUCUCUUCGAUAUACCGAUUUCCUUUCUUUUGCAUGUAUACCUAGCAGUGGAAUUGCUGGUUCAUACAGUAGUUCUAUUUUGAGUUUUGUGAGGAACACCCAAGCUGUUCUCCACAGUGGUGGUACUAAUAUACAUUCCCACCAACAGUGUAUGAGGAUUACCUUUUCUCCACAUCCUUGCCAGCAUUUGUUAUCGUCUGUCUUUUGGAUACAAGCCAUUUUAACUGGGGUGAGAUGACAUCUCAUUGCAGUUUUGAUUUGCAUUUAUCUGAUGAUCGGUGAUGUUGAGUAUCUUUUCAUAUAGCUGUUUUCCAUUUGUAUGUCUUCUUUUCAGAAAUGUCUAUUAAAAUCUUUAGUCCAUUUUUAAAUUGGAUUGUUAAAUUUUUUCAUAUAGAGUUGUUUGAGGUUCUUACAUAUUCUGGUUAUUAGUCUCUCAUCAGAUAUAUAGUUUAUAGAUAUUUUCUCCCAUUCUAUGGGUUUGUCUCUUUACUUUGUUGAUUGUUUACUUUGUUGUGCAGAAGCUUAUUAUGUAGAUGUGGUCCCAUUUGUCCACUUUUGCUUUGGUUGCCUGUGCUUAUAAGGUAUUAUUCAAGAAAUCUUUGCCUAGUCCAGUGUCCUGAAGAGUUUCCCCAAAGUUUUCUUUUAGUCAUUUCACAGUUUGAGGUCUUAGAUUUAAGUCUUUAAUCCAUUUUUAUUUUAUUUUGGUAAAUGUUGAGAGAUAGAAGUCUAGUCUCUUUGGUCUUUUAGAUGAGAUGCAAGAUAUGCACAUUUACUUGGGAAAUUUAUAUAUAAAGUAUAACUUAUACAUGAAUGCAUAAAAAUUAAUCUGUAGCUAAGACUAGAAGGAACUAGACCACAAUAAGAAUAGAAGCUUUUUUAGUAGGGAUAUAUUACUUGUGGGAAUUAGGAUGGCUUAAAAAAAUAGCUUCAUCAUCAGGAAAUGAAAAAAAAAGUCCCAUACUCAACAAACUUCAAAUGAUGUAAAUGAUUUAUAAUGUAAUUUUCCUGCAGAGUGAAAUCAUAUGCUUUUGAAAGUAAAGUAAUGGAUUAUUCUGACAUGGACAAGUAAUUCCACUUAUUAUUACCUUCGCAUUUUAAAGAUGACAUGAAAUGUAAAGAUCAUUUAAAUUUAACAAAUGACCUCUGAUUACCAGGAAAAAAAGGCCACCUUGCAGGGCGUGCAGAAGUGAACAUAUGUUUAAGAGUGCUAUUGCAUUUCCAACAUAAUUAGUCAUCUAACUAUGUAUUCAAAUGAAGCUAAUGGAUUUCUAAGUACAAUUAACUAUGAUUUAUCUAAGAACAUUGCAGUUUGAAUUCUUUUCUCCCAAUUUGUUCGUAAUUAUUCUUUUAUAUAAAUUUGUUAAUUAUUUAUGGGCGAAUUUCACUUUGGCCAAAUUAAAAUCUAUUUCCACAAUGCAGCAGCUAUCGAACAGCAAUUAAAAGGUGGUGAUUGAAGAAAAUGCAGCUUUACUUAUUGUUUUCCAAAGGGAAACAUUAUUUGAGAAGUUAGGCAAAUAAUUUCUCUCAGUUCUACUUUAAAGGAAUUAAAGAUGAAUGAGAACUUUAAAAAUAUUUUAAGAUUAAAAAAGUGAAUAUAUACUAAUUUAUUCUAUAACAGUUUUACUUUUUAUUCAUCUUGGUUUCAUUUAUUGGCAUUUAAAGAGAAUAAAGUAUUGUAUAUUCAUGCAUUUUCUUUUGAGUUUUUGUAGAAGGAUACGGGAAAGUUAAAAUAUAGCAAAUGAAUGACUCAUUUUAUAAUUUUUAGCUAAAUACAGUGUGCUUAUAAAAUGUACAUCAAUAAAUUCAACUUGGUUUAAAAAUUAGCCAACUAUGUGUGAUUUUAAAAAUUGAUUUGGUAUCAGAUACAUGAAAUACUAAACAAAACUUAUCUACUGUAAUAUUAUGAGAUAACUAUCUUCAAAUUUUAAAAAUGCUUUUAGAAAUGCUCAGCAGUGUGGUAGAGAUGUAUGUCAGUAUUAUCAAUAAUUUAAAACUUAUUAGAUGCUUUUUCAGAAAAAUACAGUAAUGUUAUCUUGAUGAGCAUGGAUUUGGACUCAGCAUAAUCAGUAAAAUGAGCCUCAGGAAAAGUAUUAUACCAUUUCUUUUUGUUGAGUUUAUUAUUUCACUUUGGUAUAAGAAUUGCUCAUUCAAAAUACCUUAGGAAAACUUUAAAAUUGAUAAUUCAGCACAUGGACUUAAUUCACAUCAAAACUCAAUUUGUCUUUGUUAUGGAACUUUGAGAGAUUCCUGCUUAAUGGUAUAAGAGAAAUUCUUCAUUAAAGAAGCCCACACAGUUAUACCCCACAAAAAGCUAAUGCUAUUGGGCACUGUAGAAGUGCCUACUGUGAGGUCUAUAACUUGUAAGAAUCAAGAUGGGUGAUGUGUUAUGUAGUUUAAUUCAUCCAUAUGUUCAAGGCAGUUCUGGUAACUCUCAGGUAAAGUGCAGGCUCGAG